rnacentral:lncRNA from 1 species
UGGGCUGCCAUGUCGAACUGGGAGCUGCCAAUGCCUCGUGGACCCGAAACAUUCGCUGGUCGGUCUAGUGUUUGUGGCGCCUACGCAUCGGCUCGCUCUAGUGUGUCUACGUGAGCAACCGGCGGCUGUCAAGCAUAGGCGUGGCCGGUAAUGCCAUCUUGCCCAGCCUGACCUUUUCUUGAUGUCUCCAAAGCCUACCUACCAAGAUGAACAUCCAUAGAUGUAGAGUGAGUGCAUGGCCAGCGAUAUAUCUCGUGUGAUCUCGAUGAUGA